AGCUCCACCAGGGCUGGACCUUUGCUCCCAGCCCUAAUGGCACUGGGCUUGGUUACCAUGGCUACAUUUAGUUUGGGAUAAACAGAGCUCUUCCUCCUCCUGUCCAGUUUACUGACACCCAACUGUCUCCCCAGGGAUGGGCUGGAAUUUCAAGAGUCUGCCUACCCCCCGAGGGGAGGCCCAAGGAUGGUCCCCUUUGCUCCCAUUUCACUUCUGGAUGGAGCGUCCAUCAUGGAGUGACUGAAGUAUGCUGCAGGGCUCACAGUACCCCCCAACCCCCAGUGCUGACUCAGCUGGAUCUCCUGGAACCCAGAGAUAGCUAUCCUGGCUCUCUGGAGUAUCUAUUGAUCAGAUAAUGGAGAAGACGUCAACUGAAGGAUCCUGAGAACUCCCGGACCAUCAUACACUGUCUUGUGAUCAGCAGGCUGAAGUCAUCCCUACAUACCUUUCCAAGUCCACCUCUCACCAAGUUUCCUUCCAAGAUACCCCAAAGUGCAUCUCAUUCUUGGGAUAACCCUAAUUCUCUCCAGAAUGUGUACUCCUUGUUUUCCUAAAUAAAUCUCUGUGCCUCAAUA